AGUGAUGGAGGCUGUUGUGAGAUGUCAAUUGGCUUUGGGUUAUAUUUCUAAACUGUCUUGCGUGAUAAACAUACACAUACAUAGACUGGGAUUGAUUUCGAGGACGGAUCACCUGCAUCCACCAGUGCCGUGGCCCAAGUCUCAGGAAUACAAUCGACUAUAGAAUUCGUGUCUAUCACAGGUGAUUUAAACGUAGUCACACCAUUAAAGACGUGCAAGUGAUCGAGCGCGAAAAGGCCUGCAGUCAGGCGUGUCGGUAAUUUCGGAAGCUGGCCAUGACAAAUUAUAUCUAAUUGAUUUGCGGUAGGAUCGGCUAGAGCACAUGAAAGGUGCGGACAAAAAAAUCAAGAAAUCGGACUGCCAAUAUAGAUCACAGAUUUGCUGUUAUUUGCACUCUACUGUUUGCCCUUCGUAGUACAACCAUCAAAGCAACGCUGUGCUCGCAUUUGGCAGCUUGGAAGCCUGGGCUCUCCAAUAUCAUUCAGGACUACUUGACAUCGAGCUACUUCCGAGCCUCACUGCAAUUGGCAUCUGGUGUGUACUGGCACUCAGUGAGCCGCUCUGCGGCUUCUCGGUGUUGACAUCAGUGCCAUUUCAUGCAUAUUGCAACAUCAUGUCAUUCAAACCUUACCUGAUGUGCGGAUGGUGUCUUGCAGGCCAGUUCAUC
rnacentral:lncRNA from 1 species